rnacentral:rRNA from 1 species
GAUGAACGCUAGCGGCAGGCUUAACACAUGCAAGUCGAGGGGUAUUGGUUUUCGGACCAAGAGACCGGCGCACGGGUGCGUAACGCGUAUGCAAUCUACCUUUUGCAGAGGGAUAGCCCCAGAGAAAUUUGGAUUAAUACCUCAUAGUAUAGCAGUUUCGCAUGAAACCACUAUUAAAGUCACAACGGCAAAGAUGAGCAUGCGUCCAUUAGCUUGUUGGUAAGGUAACGGCUUACCAAGGCAACGAUGGGUAGGGGUCCUGAGAGGGAGAUCCCCCACACCGGUACUGAGACACGGACCAGACUCCUACGGGAGGCAGCAGUGAGGAAUAUUGGACAAUGGGCGCAAGCCUGAUCCAGCCAUGCCGCGUGCAGGAAGACGGUCCUAUGGAUUGUAAACUGCUUUUAUACAGGAAGAAACACUCCCUCGU